ACGGUGUAGAUUCUUGCAUUCAUUUUGUUGCACAUUAUCGAAGGGAAAACAAUUUUAGCAGAAAAGGGUGCGGUACCGUUUGGUGCUUCAGUGAAGAUUAAAUCGUGUUACCAGCGUACGGCUUAAAUUUAUAUAAUCAGUUGUGUGGAUGCGUCAUCUGCUGGGAAGCAUGGAUUACCACGACGGAUGCCCGUCUCCGGGUGAACUGCACUAUACCCGGCUCUCGAGGGGGGUCGCCUUGAUCUGGCUUAGGAUGCCAGCACCAUGUCGGGUGGAGCCGCCCCCAAUGCUGCAUGGAGAGGCACCGUGUCAUUCCCCGCUUCCUGCCACACGUUUCUGGCUCGACUGUUUGACGGGCAAGCAAUGGAACCAAGUGGGGUAGUAGUACUAUCAAAUAGAUAAACAACUUGGAAGGGUGGCCCACUCACACGUCCUUCUCAAGGACCA